AACGAACGCUGGCGGCGCGCCUAACACAUGCAAGUCGAACGAGAAGGCGUAGCAAUACGCUUGUAGAGUGGCGAACGGGUGAGUAAUACGUGGGUGACCUACCCUCGAGUGGGGAAUAACCCGCCGAAAGGCGGGCUAAUGCCGCGUACGCUUCCGUCCUCACGGGGACGGAAGGAAAGCUGUACCGUGGGUACGGCGCUCAAGGAUGGGCUCACGUCCUAUCAGCUUGUUGGUAGGGGUAACGGCCACCAAGGCUACGACGGGUAGCUGGUCUGAGAGGACGAUCAGCCACACUGGCACUGCGACACGGGCCAGACUCCUACGGGAGGCAGCAGUGAGGAAUAUUGCGCAAUGGGCGAAAGCCUGACGCAGCGACGCCGCGUGGGGGA
rnacentral:rRNA from 1 species